AUCCGGCUGAGAGAGAAAGGAUUCUGGGAGAUAGUCAGGCAUGGGAGAUUCACCCCAGACACAGAAUAAGACAGCGCAUGCAACUGAGGACCAGCUCUGGAAGCACAAAGUAGAAAGACACUGAGCGGGCGAGGGAGCCUAAAGUGAACCCAGCUGUGUGGCCCUGGAGCUGGCAACUUCUCUGAGCCUCUGUUUUCUUCCACUGUAAAAUGGAGAGUCUCUUCGGUCUUGUGAGGACACAGCAUUGGCUUCUAGGCAACUGGAACUCAGUCUGGCAUGUGGUAGGUCUGUGGUGCUAGAAGCAUGUGUAUCUAAGUGCUGGGCCCACUCAAGGAUCAAGACACCACACACACACAUGCACACACACACACACACACACACGCAUACACACACACAGAGGCACACACGCUCACUCACACACACACAGGCACACACAGAUAUAUUCACCAAGGCACGAAUACAGGCUCUCACACACACUGUACUGACAUAGCCUCAGUCUGCUAUGUUCCCCACAUGUUCCCCACGUGUUCCCCACAUGUUCCCCACAUGUUCUCCACAUGUUCAUGCUUUGUCCUCUAGCUAGUGGUGCUGUUUUGGAGGCCAAGGAAACUUUAGAAUGUAGACCCUCACUUUUGGAAGUAGUCGCUUGGGGCAGAUCUUUGAAUAUUACAGCCUGGGGGCUGGAGAGAUGACUCAGUGGUUAAAGGCACUGGCUGCUCAUCCAGAGCAACUCAGUUCUGAGCACCCCUCCAACUCAGUUCUCAGCACCGCACAUGGCAGCUCACAACUCUCUAUAGCCCAAGUUUCAAGGGAUCCAGUGUGUUCUUCUGGUCUCUGUGGGCACCAAACAUACAUGCAGUACACAGAUGCACACACACAAACAAACAAGCAAGCAAGCAAGUACAUACAUACAUACAUACAUACAUACAAACAUACAUACAUACACGGAAGCAAUGGCCUUCAUCAUACACUCCCACAACCACGAUUGAACCCACAUACAGCUUUGCCUUCCUCAUCAUGAUGGAGGAAAACCGUCUGAAGCCAUGAGCUGAAACAAGUUGUUUCUUCCUGUCAAGUAUUGUGGCUGCAAAAACAACUGAUACGUGCACACACGCUUACGGGUUGUUCUCACCCUGAAAGUCAAUGCGUUGGAUCCACUCUGAAGACCUUUGGAACAUACCACAGCCAACCCACAGGAUGCUUCAAGGAUUUUUCUAAGUGCUUCUGAUGUGUGCACAAGAUCUACUAUCUACUAAUUCAACUCCCCAAAAUAACCCCGGGAAUAAGCAGUGAUACUUAGGAGGGCGCUGGCCUCUGCUCUAACCUGGAGAUGAGCAAUACUUACCUUCUCCAUUCCCUUGUCCCCUCCCACCUGACAUGCCCCACCCUGGGAUAUAGCUCCACCAAUGAGACUGACAGGGACCCAAGUGACCAAUGUGAGUCACAGAGAAUCUAAAACAGUCAAGUUGCCUCAAGAUCAUGCCACGAUAGUAUGUGCUGCUAAAGAAGGGCUGUCUAUGUUUAGAAAGCCGGUACUGGAAUUGUUUGGCAAUUGGCCUGAAUAUGGGCAUAACUGGGCGACAGACGUGGGAAACACCAAUUUAGACCGAGGGACCUUUUGGAAAUGGAGUUCUGAGUCCUUCCUCAGUUUAAAAGCCUUCAUGGUGAAGAAGCCAAAAUAUGAGCUGUGGGGACCCUUCCCAGUGACUCAUGAAUGUCUCCAGGACAAGCCAAAGCUGUCCCUAACCUCAUACCCAUUCCCAGGAUAUCACUAAGCAGGGCCUGCUGCUAAGUCCGCAAAAGCUGCUAUUGCCAGGUCGAUGCAGCUGCCUCCCUUCUUCCUUUGGAUAAGUUCCUGAAGGCCUCCCUGACCAACAGUGUGCAGCAUCUCCCAGCCACCCUCUGCAGGGAGCCGUGUGUGGUCCUCUCAGCCUUUCCCUGCCCCCUUUGGUUACUUACCCAGUACCAGGAAUUCUGUCUGGUCACUUGUCACCUCUAAUAAAUCAUGAGCUCCCUGGGGACAGGAAUCCCAGAACCCAGUUCCCCAGACAAUGCCACUAUUCUCUAGGCAGCUAGUCUUUUCUGGGCUGCACCAUGUAUCUUACGUGAUUCUAAGUGCCAGGGACAUGGUAAGCACAGAUACCCUCAGCUUAUAUUCUUACAGAGAGGUAGAAGGAGACUGGACAUGCAAGGCAGGGGCAGACCGGUCAGGCAGGUCAUGUAUUGUAAAGGGACCAUGUUGAGGUAAAUCUACAUCCCAAAUAAGCCCCGGCAAUGAAAACACAAGUCAAUCAAUAUGAAUACAAGCUGUACGCCUAGAUUGGGCAGAUCUACUGCUACACUACCAUCUUUCACAUCUAUGAGACCCCUUAGAACUUAAGAUUUCACCAGGCAUUGGUGGCGUACGCCUUUAAUUCCAGCACUCGGGAGGCAGAGACAGGAGGAUUUCUGAGUUCGAGGCCAGCCUGGUCUACAGAGUGAGUUCCAGGACAGCCAGGGCUACACAGAGAAACCCUGUCUUAAAAAACAAAACAAAACAUAAAAAACCUUAUGAUU
rnacentral:lncRNA from 1 species